CGAGAAUUGAUGGGUUCGCACCUUGAC
rnacentral:sRNA from 1 species